rnacentral:rRNA from 1 species
GACGAACGCUGGAGGCGUGCUUAACACAUGCAAGUCGAACGAUGAAAUGGAGCUUGCUCCAUGGAUUAGUGGCGAACGGGUGAGUAACACGUGAAUAACCUGCCCUUAAUUUUGGAAUAACCCAGGGAAACCUGGGCUAAUACCGGAUAAGUAAACCUGUGGCAUCACAUGGUUUUGGAAAGUUUUUCGAUUAAGGAUGGAUUCGCGGCCUAUGAGCUUGUUGGUAAGGUAAUGGCUCACCAAGGCGACGACGGGUAACCGGCCUGAGAGGGUGAAAGGCCACACUGGGACCGAGACAGGGCACAGGCUCCUACGGGAGGAAGCAGGGGGGAAUCUUGCGCAAUGGACGAAAGUCUGACGCAGCGACGCCUCGUGAGGGACGAAGGUCUUCGGAUUGUAAACCUCUUUCAGCAGGGACGAAGCGAAAGUGACGGUACCUGCAGAAGAAGCACCGGCUAACUAUGUGCCAGCCGCCGCCGUAA